CCUACGGGAGGCAGCAGUGAGGAAUAUUGGUCAAUGGACGAGAGUCUGAACCAGCCAAGUAGCGUGAAGGAUGACUGCCCUAUGGGUUGUAAACUUCUUUUAUAUGGGAAUAAAAUGUUCCACGUGUGGGAUUUUGUAUGUACCAUAUGAAUAAGGAUCGGCUAACUCCGUGCCAGCAGCCGCGGUAAUACGGAGGAUCCGAGCGUUAUCCGGAUUUAUUGGGUUUAAAGGGAGCGUAGGUGGAUUGUUAAGUCAGUUGUGAAAGUUUGCGGCUCAACCGUAAAAUUGCAGUUGAAACUGGCAGUCUUGAGUACAGUAGAGGUGGGCGGAAUUCGUGGUGUAGCGGUGAAAUGCUUAGAUAUCACGAAGAACUCCGAUUGCGAAGGCAGUUCACUGGACUGCAACUGACACUGAGGCUCGAAAGUGUGGGUAUCAAACAGGAUUAGAUACCCCUGUAGGUC
rnacentral:rRNA from 1 species